AUUGAACGCUGGCGGCAUGCCUUACACAUGCAAGUCGAACGGCAGCACGGGGCAACCUGGUGGCGAGUGGCGAACGGGUGAGUAAUGCAUCGGAACGUACCUUUCAGUGGGGGAUAACGUAGCGAAAGUUACGCUAAUACCGCAUAUUCUGUGAGCAGGAAAGCAGGGGAUCGCAAGACCUUGCGCUGAUUGAGCGGCCGAUGUCAGAUUAGCUAGUUGGUGAGGUAAAGGCUCACCAAGGCGACGAUCUGUGGCGGGUCUGAGAGGAUGAUCGGCCACACUGGAACUGAGACACGGUCCAGACUCCUACGGGAGGCAGCAGUGGGGAAUUUUGGACAAUGGGGGCAACCCUGAUCCAGCCAUGCCGCGUGAGUGAAGAAGGCCUUCGGGUUGUAAAGCUCUUUCGGCCGGGAAGAAAUCGCACGGGCUAAUACCCUGUGUGGAUGACGGUACCGGAAUAAGAAGCACCGGCUAACUACGUGCCAGCAGCCGCCGCAGUAA
rnacentral:rRNA from 1 species